AAAAAAAGUCAGAAAAGUGAAUCGGCCAAAUGAUUGUUCUAGAAUGGUUAUUCUCAUCCUUCUUUUUUUUUUUUCCUAUUUCGGAUCUUGGUUUGUGCUCGAAAAAGGGAUUAUUCAUGGAACUACUAUCGAAACCCUAUUUCUUCUUUUCGGUCUCAUUCUGCUAUUCAUUGCUCUUCUUUGGCCAUUGAAGUCCCUUUAUUUUUCAGAUAGAAGGCCCUUUACUGUUUAGAAAAAGUGUCCUCUGGGCCUCUGGUCUUAACCUGACUGAGAUUUUGGCCUCACCUUUGAGGCCUAGCCCUAAGAGGGAUUAGGGGACAAACCCUUGAUUUUGAAUGCCAAAGGUGUCUUUGCAGCAUCAAGAUAUAUCACCCCUUGGUGCCCAUGCCCUCUUGUUGACCACCCAAUAACUAAAAACUGAAGGACAGGCAGUGAUCAAAACCAGACAGCAAAUAUUGCAUUUUCACUCACUUUGUCUGGCACUUCCAAGCACUGAAGAACUGCUUUUGGUGGUCUCUCAUGGUUCAACAGGAACCUACUCCUCCUUCCAUCUGUCCAUGCUUAAGUCGCAAACUUUAUCUACAGCAAAUCGGAACCGGCAUCAUACAUCAGCUCUGGUAUCUUUUGGCACUAUGUGAUCCUCAGCUUUGAAUACCUUUAGGGAUGAGAAGUUUUCUUGUUUCUCCUACAUUUCUUUCCUACUCUAUAGAACACCCAUCUCUUCUUCUGCCGAACUAAAUCAACUCUAUGUGGUCCUCACCUUCAAGACAUGACUUUAAGAGUUAUGUCCUUGGAUUUAGAAAAAAUAAAACUCGGCUGUGAUCUUUUAACAGUCUCCAAGUUCAUUGAAGAAUUAUUAUAAUUGAACAUACUGCUAAGAAGCCAUAGGACCUACAUGUACCCUUUACUACCAUAAUUGAGCUCUUUCUUCAAAUUUUUUGUAAAGCGUUGAAGAGGAGGCAAAACACAUAACUUGCACAGUGGCUUAGAAGUUGUGUAUAGGGGUUUGGUACUUUUGGUUUAAACUGGAUAGCACCUCCUUCUCUGUUGUGCUUUAUGAACUCUGACAUUUAUGGCUUAGGGGUGAGAAAAAGAGUUAAACCUCAAUUUUGCAAGGAGCUGUGUUUGCAAGUUUAUGGAUGAUAUGGUUGGUAUGAGAUUAUCAGUUUUGUGAAGAUGAAACCCUCCUGCUUGAAGCUUUAUGGGAGAAAAUGACUGUUUUUGGUCUCCCUAUGGGCAAAAGCUUGGAAAAUUUCCAGAUAUUCCGAUUUCUGUACUUCAUAGGAAUUUGGAGGGCGAUAAUGUUUUCGAUUUUAGGUUCAGGCUGUUUUAUUACUUAUAGUUAUUUUGUUUCAGAGACCUUCUGUGAAGGUUUCUUAAUCUUAAUAGUACUUUUUUAGCAAAAAAAAAAAAAGAAAAAUAACAAUGAUUGCUAAAAACUAAAACAAACUAACAAACCAACUAAUACUAUUCCCUAAUUAAAUAGGAAAUAAUUCAUAACUACUUAGGCAAUAAAUCAUGAUCGAAUUAAAUAUCUAGUAUUAGAAUUCUAAACUAAUUAGAAGUUAAGAUCUAUAAAAACUAUUGAUGUUUUUAGAUAAUAAUAGCAGUAUUUCUAUUAUUCUUCUCUGCAUCAGUGUCAGUUUUUACAGUAUUUUUUCAAUUUUAAACAGCUUCUUUCGUUUUUUUGAGCAUUUGGGUACACGUCUGGCCUUUUCUUGCAGGAUUUGUGUGCUAUAUGCACGGAUUUCAUCAUUUCUGAACUGUGGACUUCAAAUUUCUUAGCAUAUCAGGUAUUUGCUGAGAGCCAAGAUUAUGGCAUACAUGGGGAACGUGUAAGGAAUGCUUGCUGGGGCUACCUUUGUCAAAGUGGUGCCACAGAAUUGAAGCAGGUGCUUCCAAAAACUUUCUUCUCCUACUUUUACAUGCAUUGCUGACUUCAGAUGAAACUAUGGGU